CUCCUACGGGAGGCAGCAGUCGGGAAUAUUGCGCAAUGGAGGAAAUCUGACGCAUGACGCCGCGUGCAGGAAGAAGGUUUUCGGAUUGUAAACUGCUUUAGACAGGGAAGAGAAAGGACAGUACCUGUAGAAUAAGCUCCGGCUAACUACGUGCCAGCAGCCGCGGUAAUACGUAGUGGAGCGAGCGUUAUCCGGAUUUAUUGGGUGUAAAGGGUGCGUAGACGGGAAUACAAGUUAGUUGUGAAAUACCUCGGCUUAACUGAGGAACUGCAACUAAAACUAUAUUUCUUGAGUACAGGAGAGGUAAGUGGAAUUCCUAGUGUAGCGGUGAAAUGCGUAGAUAUUAGGAGGAACACCAGUGGCGAAGGCGACUUACUGGACUGAAACUGACGUUGAGGCACGAAAGUGUGGGGAGCAAACAGGAUUAGAUACCCUGGUAGUCCACACCGUAAACGAUGGAUACUAGGUGUAGGAGAUAUUAAGUCUUCUGUGCCGUCGCAAACGCAGUAAGUAUCCCACCUGGGGAGUACGGCCGCAAGGUUGAAACUCAAAGGAAUUGACGGGGGCCCGCACAAGCAGUGGAGUAUGUGGUUUAAUUCGAAGCAACGCGAAGAACCUUACCAGGGCUUGACAUAUAGAUGAAUAUAUAAGAGAUUAUAUAGCUCUUCGGAGCAUCUAUACAGGUGGUGCAUGGUUGUCGUCAGCUCGUGUCGUGAGAUGUUGGGUUAAGUCCCGCAACGAGCGCAACCCCUGUUUCUAGUUGCCAGCACGUCAAGGUGGGAACUCUAGAAAGACUGCCGUAGAUAAUACGGAGGAAGGUGGGGAUGACGUCAAAUCAUCAUGCCCUUUACGUCCUGGGCUACACACGUACUACAAUGGCUGUAACAGAGGGAAGCAAGCUAGUGAUAGCAAGCGAAACCCAAAAAGCAGUCACAGUUCGGAUUGAAGGCUGAAACUCGCCUUCAUGAAGCCGGAAUUGCUAGUAAUGGCAGGUCAGCAUACUGCCGUGAAUACGUUCCCGGGCCUUGUACACACCGC
rnacentral:rRNA from 1 species